GCUGAUGGUGACACUAGUGGUGGCAUUGGGGAGGUGGGCGGGGCUGGCGGCGGCGGUAGCGGUAGCGGAGCUAGAGAGGGUGGUAUAUGAGUGGGCAGAGGUAUUUAGGGAAGGAAAGGGAAGGAGGUUGGGCUGGGGAGAGAAAGGAGGUUAGGGAGAAGGACUGGUGGAGGGCUUUUCUGUUGUGGGUGAGAGUAUGGAUGGAGGAUA
rnacentral:lncRNA from 1 species